GGGCUUGACUGGAUUUGACGGCGAGUUGAAAUGGUACGUAAGCACGCGGAGCGGCGACUGUAGGCUCCAUAAUCUCUGCGGUCAGAAAAUUAAUUGGCAACAAUGAGUAUGCUCUCGCUGCUUAAUCGAAGUACAGUAGAUUAAUAGCUUAAUUCCUCUACAAGGUGGAGGAACGAGACGUCGCUCCGAGGAUGUUGUUCCGAAUCCGGAGAUCAAGCGGCGCAGGUUAAAUCGGAAAUAGCCUUGGCAGGCCCCGAUGCCCAGGUGAAGCUUUAGGGGAUAAGGCAGCGGUUGGUGGCCCAGGUCUUGCCGUUGCUCGAAAACGAAGGCUGGGAUAAGCGUGUAGAAAGCGUAUGGUUUCCUUGUUCGGACGAGGGUUCGACUCCCUCCAGGUCCAC
rnacentral:tmRNA from 1 species